UGCGUUGGGAUGGCCUGCCCGUGGGUGACGAACUUCAGGAGGAGGCACGCCACGGAGGCGCCAAGCAGCUGGGCGACCCAGUAGAAGAUGCCGGUGAGGAUGGUGAUGUGGCCGCCGACGGCGAGGCCGAAGGUGACGGCGGGGUUCAGGUGCCCGCCGGAGAUGUUGGCGGCCAUGGAGACGCCGACGAAGAGAGCGAACGCAUGGGCGAUGGCGAUGGCAACCAGGCCGGCAGGGUCGAGGGCCCCGCCCUUUGUCAAUUGCGCUGCAAGAGACGAAUUUUUUUGGUUAACAAUGAGCUAAACCCUGGAUGAUCGUCAUGGUAAGCAUGGUGUGAUAUGAUAUUUGAGAGGAGGUGUUUGAGAUAGGAGAAGCU
rnacentral:lncRNA from 1 species